rnacentral:piRNA from 1 species
CCAACUUCAACAUCCGGGAAGACGCCA